rnacentral:tRNA from 1 species
GGCCCCGUCGCCAAGUGGUAAGGCAGAGGUCUGCAAAACCUCCAUCACCCGUUCGAAUCGGGUCGGGGCCUCCA